rnacentral:rRNA from 1 species
GACGAACGCUGGCGGCGUGCUUAACACAUGCAAGUCGAACGGAAAGGCCCUGCUUGCAGGGUACUCGAGUGGCGAACGGGUGAGUAACACGUGGGUGAUCUGCCCUGCACUUCGGGAUAAGCCUGGGAAACUGGGUCUAAUACCGGAUAGGAGCCAUUUUUAGUGUGAUGGUUGGAAAGUUUUGUCGGUGUAGGAUGAGCUCGCGGCCUAUCAGCUUGUUGGUGGGGUAAUGGCCUACCAAGGCGGCGACGGGUAGCCGGCCUGAGAGGGUGGACGGCCACAUUGGGACUGAGAUACGGCCCAGACUCCUACGGGAGGCAGCAGUGGGGAAUAUUGCACAAUGGGCGCAAGCCUGAUGCAGCGACGCCGCGUGGGGGAUGACGGCCUUCGGGUUGUAAACUCCUUUCGCUAGGGACGAAGCUUUUUGUGACGGUACCUAGAUAAGAAGCACCGGCUAACUACGUG